CAAACGGUCCUUUUCAGGACCAUCGAAAGUGAUUCCUCAAGAGUAAAU
rfam:Aedes albopictus isolate Foshan contig205888, whole genome shotgun sequence.